rnacentral:rRNA from 1 species
GAUUGAACGCUGGCGGCAGGCCUAACACAUGCAAGUCGAACGGUAACAGGAAGCAGCUUGCUGCUUCGCUGACGAGUGGCGGACGGGUGAGUAAUGUCUGGGAAACUGCCUGAUGGAGGGGGAUAACUACUGGAAACGGUGGCUAAUACCGCAUAACGUCGCAAGACCAAAGAGGGGGACCUUCGGGCCUCUUGCCAUCAGAUGUGCCCAGAUGGGAUUAGCUUGUUGGUGAGGUAACGGCUCACCAAGGCGACGAUCCCUAGCUGGUCUGAGAGGAUGACCAGCCACACUGGAACUGAGACACGGUCCAGACUCCUACGGGAGGCAGCAGUGGGGAAUAUUGCACAAUGGGCGCAAGCCUGAUGCAGCCAUGCCGCGUGUAUGAAGAAGGCCUUCGGGUUGUAAAGUACUUUCAGCGGGGAGGAAGGUGUUGUGGUUAAUAACCGCAGCAAUUGACGUUACCCGCAGAAGAAGCACCGGCUAACUCCGUGCCAGCAGCCGCGGUAAUACGGAGGGUGCAAGCGUUAAUCGGAAUUACUGGGCGUAAAGCGCACGCAGGCGGUCUGUCAAGUCGGAUGUGAAAUCCCCGGGCUCAACCUGGGAACUGCAUUCGAAACUGGCAGGCUUGAGUCUUGUAGAGGGGGGUAGAAUUCCAGGUGUAGCGGUGAAAUGCGUAGAGAUCUGGAGGAAUACCGGUGGCGAAGGCGGCCCCCUGGACAAAGACUGACGCUCAGGUGCAAAAGCGUGUGGAGCAAACAGGAUUAGAUACCCUGGUAGUCCACGCCGUAAACGAUGUCUACUUGGAGGUUGUGCCCUUGAGGCGUGGCUUCCGGAGCUAACGCGUUAAGUAGACCGCCUGGGGAGUACGGCCGCAAGGUUAAAACUCAAAUGAAUUGACGGGGGCCCGCACAAGCGGUGGAGCAUGUGGUUUAAUUCGAUGCAACGCGAAGAACCUUACCUGGUCUUGACAUCCACAGAAGAAUCCAGAGAUGGAUUUGUGCCUUCGGGAACUGUGAGACAGGUGCUGCAUGGCUGUCGUCAGCUCGUGUUGUGAAAUGUUGGGUUAAGUCCCGCAACGAGCGCAACCCUUAUCCUUUGUUGCCAGCGAUUAGGUCGGGAACUCAAAGGAGACUGCCAGUGAUAAACUGGAGGAAGGUGGGGAUGACGUCAAGUCAUCAUGGCCCUUACGACCAGGGCUACACACGUGCUACAAUGGCGCAUACAAAGAGAAGCGACCUCGCGAGAGCAAGCGGACCUCAUAAAGUGCGUCGUAGUCCGGAUUGGAGUCUGCAACUCGACUCCAUGAAGUCGGAAUCGCUAGUAAUCGUGGAUCAGAAUGCCACGGUGAAUACGUUCCCGGGCCUUGUACACACCGCCCGUCACACCAUGGGAGUGGGUUGCAAAAGAAGUAGGUAGCUUAACCUUCGGGAGGGCGCUUACCACUUUGUGAU